rnacentral:rRNA from 1 species
UACGGAGGGGGCUAGCGUUGUUCGGAAUUACUGGGCGUAAAGCGCGCGUAGGCGGACCUGCAAGUCGGGGGUGAAAGCCCGAGGCUCAACCUCGGAACUGCCUUCGAUACUGCGGGUCUCGAGUCCGGGAGAGGUGAGUGGAAUUCCUAGUGUAGAGGUGAAAUUCGUAGAUAUUAGGAAGAACACCAGUGGCGAAGGCGGCUCACUGGCC